rnacentral:rRNA from 1 species
GCGGGGUUAACCCGUGUGGGGAAGCCGUAGCGAAAGCGAGUCCGAAGAGGGCGACCCAGUAGCGUGCCCAAGACCCGAAGCGGAGUGAUCUAGCCAUGGGCAGGUUGAAGCGGAGGUAAGACUUCGUGGAGGACCGAACCCACCAGGGUUGAAAACCUGGGGGAUGACCUGUGGUUAGGGGUGAAAGGCCAAUCAAACUCCGUGAUAGCUGGUUCUCCCCGAAAUGCAUUUAGGUGCAGCGUCGUGUGUUUCUUGCCGGAGGUAGAGCACUGGAUAGGCGAUGGGCCCUACCGGGUUACUGACCUUAGCCAAACUCCGAAUGCCGGUAAGUGAGAGCGCGGCAGUGAGACUGUGGGGGAUAAGCUCCAUGGUCGAGAGGGAAACAGCCCAGAGCAUCGACUAAGGCCCCUAAGCGUGUGCUAAGUGGGAAAGGAUGUGGAGUCGCAGAGACAACCAGGAGGUUGGCUUAGAAGCAGCCAUCCUUGAAAGAGUGCGUAAUAGCUCACUGGUCAAGUGAUUCCGCGCCGACAAUGUAGCGGGGCUCAAGCACACCGCCGAAGUCAUGUCAUUGCAGUAUGUACUCCUAACGGGGACUGUGAUGGGUAGGGGAGCGUCGUGUGCCGGGUGAAGCAGCGCCGGAAGGUAGUUGUGGACGGUUCACGAGUGAGAAUGCAGGCAUGAGUAGCGAUACACACGUGGGAAACGUGUGCGCCGAUUGACUAAGGGUUCCUGGGUCAAGCUGAUCUGCCCAGGGUAAGUCGGGACCUAAGGCGAGGCCGACAGGCGUAGUCGAUGGACAACCGGUUGAUAUUCCGGUACCCGCUUUGAAGCGCCAAACAUCGAAUCCUCUGAUGCUAAGGCCGUGAAGCCGCCCUGGAGUCUUCGGACAAAGGGGAGUGGUGGAGCCGCUGAUCCAAGGUGGUAGUAGGUGAGUGAUGGGGUGACGCAGGAAGGUAGUCCAGCCCGGGCGGUGGUUGUCCCGGGGUAAGGGUGUAGGACGCACGGUAGGCAAAUCCGUCGUGCAUGAAGUCUGAGACCUGAUGCCGAGCCGAUUGUGGUGAAGUGGAUGAUCCUAUGCUGUCGAGAAAAGCCUCUAGCGAGUUUCAUGGCGGC